rnacentral:rRNA from 1 species
AAGCAUAUCAAUAAGCGGAGGAAAAGAAACUAACAAGGAUUCCCCUAGUAACUGCGAGUGAAGCGGGAAAAGCUCAAAUUUAAAAUCUGGCGGUCUUCGAUCGUCCGAGUUGUAGUCUGGAGAAGCGUCUUCCGCGCUGGACCGUGUACAAGUCUCUUGGAACAGAGCAUCGUAGAGGGUGAGAAUCCCGUCUUUGACACGGACUACCAGUGCUUUGUGAUGCGCUCUCAAAGAGUCGAGUUGUUUGGGAAUGCAGCUCAAAAUGGGUGGUAAAUUCCAUCUAAAGCUAAAUAUUGGCGAGAGACCGAUAGCGAACAAGUACCGUGAGGGAAAGAUGAAAAGCACUUUGGAAAGAGAGUUAAACAGUACGUGAAAUUGCUGAAAGGGAAACGAUUGAAGUCAGUCGCGUCGUCUAGAACUCAACCUUGCCUCGGCUCGGUGCAUUUUCUAGUUGACGGGCCAGCAUCAGUUUUGACCGUCGGAAAAAGGUCCUCGGAAUGUGGCACCUUCGGGUGUGUUAUAGCCUUGGGUCGUAUACGACGGUUGGGACUGAGGACCGCAGCACGCCUUUAUGGCCGGGGUUCGCCCACGUACGUGCUUAGGAUGC